UACAAUCAGCGGCAAACCUGUUGAAAAUUUUAACGCCUCAAAUGCCGUUCACGCCGCCGUCGAGCGCGACAUUUAGUUAAAAACGCCUGCGAUCACAGUGUCCUGCGGAGUUGCCCAUUGCAUAGCAACGAUCAGUUAGCAACGCUCGCGUCGUCUUUGUCUUACAGCUAAGCCGAUCGCGUCCUUUGUUUUUAAACCAAUGAAAUCCCGUGUUCUUUGAGGUUUAGAGUGCUUAUUUUAUCAGAGUCCAAGCAGACAAGAUGGCGGAACCGACACAGAGCGAAGGAUGGCUUCAAUUCCUUUACAAAUUCGCGCUACGCGAGUUUGAUUUUUGGGAGCCUAACUCGUGCAAAAGUUAAAGAUAUCGUUGUACUGCUUGUACUCUAGUUCGAUUUUUGGAAGUUUUCCCGUGGUAGAGGGUGCCUAAUUCUACGAGUUGGAUGGCUGUAUGAACGCCUGGCACGCCGACGCGACGCAGGGUGGAUCGAGCUGAAUUCACGGUUCAACUGGUUGAGUUCAUGAUGAAUUGAUUCACCACCCUGCUCGCCGAAAAAGCCUGAAGGAAACUUCCGUUCCCGGAUGAAAUCUGAAGUCUGUGCCUGAGGUAUUUUCAUGACCACGGUUGGCUGAAAGAGAAUAAUAAUGUAAUUUAUAAUAUUGCAAAAAAGAAUAAAAAAUAUAGUUAGAACAAAA